UACGACGGGGGCUAGCGUUGCUCGGAAUAACUGGGCGUAAAGGGUGCGUAGGCGGGUCUUUAAGUCAGGGGUGAAAUCCUGGAGCUCAACUCCAGAACUGCCUUUGAUACUGAAGAUCUUGAGUUCGGGAGAGGUGAGUGGAACUGCGAGUGUAGAGGUGAAAUUCGUAGAUAUUCGCAAGAACACCAGUGGCGAAGGCGGCUCACUGGCCCGAUACUGACGCUGAGGCACGAAAGCGUGGGGAGCAAACAGG
rnacentral:rRNA from 1 species